UUUAAAGCAUUCAGGUCCUUUUGGCCGGAACCGCCAUCUGCCAGUAAUUAGCCAAAAUGACCAACACAAAGGGAAAGAGGAGAGGCACCCGCUAUAUGUUCUCUAGACCUUUUAGAAAACAUGGAGUUGUUCCUUUGGCCACAUACAUGCGCAUCUACAAGAAAGGUGAUAUUGUAGGCAUCAAGGGAAUGGGCACUGUUCAAAAAGGAAUGCCCCACAAAUGUUACCAUGGCAAAACUGGAAGAGUCUACAAUGUCACCCAGCAUGCAGUGGGCAUUGUUGUGAACAAACAAGUCAAGGGCAAGAUUCUUGCCAAGAGAAUUAAUGUACGCAUCGAGCAUAUUAAGCACUCUAAGAGCCGAGAUAGCUUCCUGAAACGUGUGAAGGAAAAUGAUCAGAAAAAGAAGAAAGCCAAAGAGAAAGGUACCUGGGUUCAACUGAAGCGUCAGCCUGCUCCACCCAGAGAAGCACACUUUGUGAGAACCAAUGGAAAGGAGCCUGAGCUGCUGGAACCCAUUCCCUAUGAAUUCAUGGCAUGAUAAGUGUAAAAAAAAAAAAAAAAAAAGACCUCUAUACUGAUAAAAAUGUUUCUCUUAAUUGGGUAGAAGUGUGGUAUCCCUUCCCCCAAAAAAAUAAUUAAAGAAAACUUUGUGCCCUAAAAAAAAAAAAAAAAAAAA